UACGAGGGGUGCAAGCGUUGCUCGGAAUUAUUGGGCGUAAAGGGUAGGUAGGUGGUCUCAUUUGUCUGAUGUGAAAGCCUUGGGCUUAACUCAAGAAGUGCGUCAGAAACGGUGAGACUGGAGUCCUGGAGAGGGUCGUGGAAUUCCCGGUGUAGCGGUGAAAUGCGUAGAGAUCCGGAAGAACACCAGUGGCGAAGGCGGCCCGCUGGGCAGUGGCUGACGCUGAGGCGCGACAGCGUGGGGAGCAAACAGG
rnacentral:rRNA from 1 species